rnacentral:tRNA from 1 species
GGCUGUGGCUCAGUGGUAGAGCGCUUGCCCUGCACAUGUGGGGCACUGGGUUCGAUCCUCAGCACCA